GACGAACGCUGGCGGCGUGCCUAACACAUGCAAGUCGAACGGAAAGGCCCUGCUUUUGUGGGGUGCUCGAGUGGCGAACGGGUGAGUAUCACGUGUGUAACCUGCCCUUGUCUUUGGGGGAACUUCAGGAAACUGGAGUUAAUAUAGGACAGGAGAUCCUGCAGCAUGGUGGGGGUGGGAAAGUUUCGGCGGUUGGGGAUGGACUCGCGGCUUAGCAGCUUGUUGGUGGGGUAGUGGAUUACCAAGGCAGUGACGGGUAGCCGGCAGGGGAGGGUGACCGGGCACAAUGGGACUGAGGUAGGGACCAGAGGGCAACGGGGGGCAGCGGUGGGAAAUAUUGCACAAUGGGCCGAAGCCUGAUACAGCGACGCCGCGUGCGGGAAGACGGCCUGCGGGGUAUAAACCGCUUUCGCCUGUGACGAAGCGUGAGUGACGGUAAUGGGUAAAGAAGCACCGGCUAACUACGUG
rnacentral:rRNA from 1 species